rnacentral:rRNA from 1 species
UACGUAGGGCGCGAGCGUUGUCCGGAAUUAUUGGGCGUAAAGAGCUCGUAGGCGGUUUGGCAAGUCGGGUGUGAAAACUCCGGGCUCAACUCGGAGACGCCACUCGAUACUGCCAUGACUCGAGUCCGGUAGGGGAGUGCGGAAUUCCUGGUGUAGCGGUGAAAUGCGCAGAUAUCAGGAGGAACACCGGUGGCGAAGGCGGCACUCUGGGCCGGUACUGACGCUGAGGAGCGAAAGCGUGGGGAGCGAACAGG